CGUCCUGCCUAUCAAUCGCACUAUUUAUUUGGCCGAACGAAAGCCUGAAUCAGGUCACGAGUGCCCUUCAAUAAUUGAUCGCGUUAGGGUUUGGUGUAUUGCUUGCUUCUCUUUCUGCACCAAAUCCUUAAUUCCGUAGCAGCCAUGUCUUCCAAGCAAGGCGGAAAAUUGAAGCCCUUGAAGCAACCCAAAGGCGAUAAGAAAGAGUACGACGAGAUUGAUAUAGCUAACAUUCAAAAGAAGAAAGAGGAGGAAAAGGCACUAAAAGAGCUUAAAGCCAAGGCCCAGCAGAAAGGGGCCUUUGGAGGAUCUGGCCUCAAGAAAAGUGGGAAGAAAUGAGAGAUUUGAACCAAAUCAAAAUACAACGUACAGAUUCUUAUGGUGUGAUUACAAAUUAAACUAUUAUCCAUCUUUUGUCUAGUUGGUGGGGUCUAUGAUAAUUACCUUUGAAGGUUGCUGUGGUCUAGUCUAUUUAUAAAUCCGACUUCUUAACUUUCAUGUUAUGUAAAAACCAGGUAAUUCUUAA